GACGAACGCUGGCGGCGUGCUUAACACAUGCAAGUCGAACGGAAAGGCCCUGCUUUUGUGGGGUGCUCGAGUGGCGAACGGGUGAGUAACACGUGAGUAACCUGCCCUUGACUUUGGGAUAACUUCAGGAAACUGGGGCUAAUACCGGAUAGGAGCUCCUGCUGCAUGGUGGGGGUUGGAAAGUUUCGGCGGUUGGGGAUGGACUCGCGGCUUAUCAGCUUGUUGGUGGGGUAGUGGCUUACCAAGGCUUUGACGGGUAGCCGGCCUGGGGGGGUGGACGGGCCACAUGGGGCUGGAGAAAGGGCAAGACCUCCACGGGGGGGAGGAGGGGGGAAUAUUGCAAAAAGGGCGGAAGCCUGGUGGCGGCACGCCGGGGGGGGGAUGGGGGGCUUGGGGUUGGUAACCCGUUUCCCCCGGGGAGAAGCGGUGAGUGACGGUAAGGGGAAAAGAAGCACGGGCUAACUACGUG
rnacentral:rRNA from 1 species